CCAGUAGAUAACACACAAGCACUGGAGCCUUUACCACUACCCUUGAGCCCAAGCUCUGUCCCUAAAGACUGUAUGCUUGUGGGUAGGCAUUUAACAUCUCUGAAUUUUUUUCUUAUCUGUACAAUUUAAGACAGCAGUAUUUCUUCAUAUACGUGUAUCUGGGGAUAAGAAAAAUAUGUGUAUUGAACCCUAUGAUAGACACUUGGUAAACGAUGGAAAUGUACCAGGUAUAUAUCCAGCAUGUAUAUGCAUACACUCCAGUGAGUGGUCUUUCUUUCCAGGAUUAAUUAAGCCGUGAAAGAAACUAUUUCAUUUAAACUGAUCACAAAUAAAGUAUUUGAAGGAAGUCCUAUAAAUAUUUACUCUAUUGGAUAAAUUGCCUGUGAGAAGUAACUUGAGUAUAAAUAAACAUGGUACUUCACAAACAAGAAUAGUUCAUGCUUGGCUAUUGAGUUUUAGUAUGUGUUAAAAUUUCCCAAUCACUUUUUUUCUAAGAAUGAAACAAGAAUUUAAAAGAGUAUAUGAUGUUUCUAAGUUAAAACAAGAAUAAGAAAAAAUGAAUCUCCAGAAUGUAAGUUCAGGUUCCUGGAAUGCAGCUCUUUUUUCUCUGUAUUUAGGUCAAUCUAUGCUGUAUUUGAAUCCGACGUUAAUCUGAAAGGAAUCCCUGUGUAUAGAUUUGUUCUUCCAUCCAAGGCCUUUGCCUCUCCAGUUGAAAACCCAGACAACUAUUGUUUCUGCACAGAAAAAAUUAUCUCAAAAAAUUGUACAUCAUAUGGUGUGCUAGACAUCAGCAAAUGCAAAGAAGGGAGACCUGUGUACAUUUCACUUCCUCAUUUUCUGUAUGCAAGUCCUGAUGUUUCAGAACCUAUUGAUGGAUUAAACCCAAAUGAAGAAGAACAUAGGACAUACUUGGAUAUUGAACCUGUAAGAAAACACCUUAUUGAUCUGAUUUGGUUGAUAUUUUUAAAAAUACAAUUGAAAUAAAAAUAAUCUUGUCGAUGAUUAUUUAUUCAAUAAAUAAUCAUAUUUAUUGAAUCACAUUCUUGAAAGUUACUGAAACUUAGGUCGAUUUCUUCCUAUGGUUUAUGAAGUGAUUCUAAUUGGCUUAAAAUAAUUUUAUAUAAAUAUUUAUGUUUAGAUGAGGAGUUAUUGUAUAUUAUGCAAAAGUCAAAGAGUAUAUGUGAGUUUGACUAUACUUAUUGUCAAAAUCUAUAAAAUUGUUGUAGCGCAACAGUUUUAAUCAUCUUUAUUUUUGUAUUUUCCUUUUCAAAAAGUAAAUGAAAUUCUAGGAUUUUAGUAGUUAUGUUUUAGUUUAAACAAUGACACAUGGAUUCUAACUGAAUAUAUAUUUGACCAGGAAUUAUCUGAGAUCUUAUAUUUUGUUGCUGAUUUUUGAUUUUUUAAAAACCAUUUCAAGUAACUCACAAAUCUAACUAACUAAAACCUUGACAUUCGAUUGGGCAAAUAAAUUGUGUGUAUCUAUAUGGAUGCAUGUGUAUAUAACUAUAAC
rnacentral:lncRNA from 10 species